AGGAACUUAAGUUAAUUAAACUAGAAGCCUUCAAAGCUUCAAACAGGGGCUAAAACCCCCUAGUUCCUG
rnacentral:tRNA from 1 species